rnacentral:rRNA from 1 species
GCCCAGCGCUGAAUCUCUCGGUCUUAGGCCGCUGAGAACUGUAGCGUAUAGGUGUGACUGUCCUGCUAUAUUGCAUUUCCGAAGUCUCUUUGAUAGGGGCCAACAUCCAGAGAGGGUGCGAGACCUGUACGGAAAGUAGUAUAGUUGGUAUGGUUACUCCUUGGAGUCGGGUUGCUUGAAAGUGCAGCCUAAAGUUGGUGAUAAACUUCAUCUAAGGCUAAAUAUCGACGCGAAAUCGAUAGCAAACAAGUACCGUGAGGGAAAGUUGCAAAGAACUUUGAAGAGAGAGUUCAAGAGAACGUGAAAUCGCUGAAGUGGAACCGGAGAGAGUUAACAUAACUUGGUAGCUAUAUCCUCUAAAGUCGCUUAACUGUGGCUCUGGGGGGUGGACGCUACCUGUUGUUGCACUGACUGCGUUGAUUGUGCUUUCCGAACAGUAUAGUGUUGCCCACUUUGUGGUGUCUUGCUUUCUGGGAGGUUUGUCAUAAUUAACGUAAAGCCAAUUCCCUUUGGAGUCAGUGUGAAAGUUAACCACCUUUCCGACCCGUCUUGAAACACGGACCGAGGAGUGUAAUUUAUACGCGAGUCAAGGGGUGGUGAAAACCCUAGGGGCGGAAUGAAAGUAAAGGCCGGUUAACCGGUUGACAUGGGAUCCGCUCUUCGGAGCGGCGCACCAUGGCCCUGUCUUGUCUGCUUGCAGAUGGGCAGCGGUAGAGCGUAUAGUUUGCGACCCGAAAGAUGGUGAACUAUGCUUGAGCAGGACGAAGCCAGAGGAAACUCUGGUGGAAGUCCGUAUCGGUUCUGACGUGCAAAUCGAUCGAUAGAC